ACCCUGGUAGCUCAGUCGGCAGAGCAAGUGACUGUUAAUCACUGGGUCGGCGGUUCGAGCCCGUCCCAGGGUG
rnacentral:tRNA from 1 species